rnacentral:rRNA from 1 species
AACGAACGCUGGCGGCAUGCCUAACACAUGCAAGUCGAACGGGAUCCUGGCUUCGGUCAGGUGAGAGUGGCGGACGGGUGAGUAACGCGUGGGAACCUGCCCAGUGGUGGGGGAUAACUGCGGGAAACUGCAGCUAAUACCGCAUGAGCCCGAGAGGGGAAAGAUUUAUCGCCAUUGGAGGGGCCCGCGUUCGAUUAGGUAGUUGGUGAGGUAACGGCUCACCAAGCCGACGAUCGAUAGCUGGUCUGAGAGGAUGAUCAGCCACACUGGGACUGAGAUACGGCCCAGACUCCUACGGGAGGCAGCAGUGGGGGAAUAUUGGACAAUGGGGGGCAACCCUGAUCCAGCAAUGCCGCGUGAGUGAUGAAGGCCUUCGGUUGU